ACGGGUGAGGAAUACAUCGGAAUCUACUUUUUCGUGGGGGAUAACGUAGGGAAACUUACGCUAAUACCGCAUACGACCUACGGGUGAAAGCAGGGGACCUUCGGGCCUUGCGCGAUUGAAUGAGCCGAUGUCGGAUUAGCUAGUUGGCGGGGUAAAGGCCCACCAAGGCGACGAUCCGUAGCUGGUCUGAGAGGAUGAUCAGCCACACUGGAACUGAGACACGGUCCAGACUCCUACGGGAGGCAGCAGUGGGGAAUAUUGGACAAUGGGCGCAAGCCUGAUCCAGCCAUACCGCGUGGGUGAAGAAGGCCUUCGGGUUGUAAAGCCCUUUUGUUGGGAAAGAAAUCCAGCCGGCUAAUACCUGGUUGGGAUGACGGUACCCAAAGAAUAAGCACCGGCUAACUUCGUGCCAGCAGCCGCGGUAAUACGAAGGGUGCAAGCGUUACUCGGAAUUACUGGGCGUAAAGCGUGCGUAGGUGGUUGUUUAAGUCUGUUGUGAAAGCCCUGGGCUCAACCUGGGAACUGCAGUGGAAACUGGACGACUAGAGUGUGGUAGAGGGUAGCGGAAUUCCUGGU
rnacentral:rRNA from 1 species